rnacentral:rRNA from 1 species
UACGUAGGGUGCAAGCGUUAAUCGGAAUUACUGGGCGUAAAGCGUGCGCAGGCGGUUGUGCAAGACAGGUGUGAAAUCCCCGGGCUUAACCUGGGAACUGCACUUGUGACUGCACGGCUGGAGUGUGGCAGAGGGGGAUGGAAUUCCGCGUGUAGCAGUGAAAUGCGUAGAUAUGCGGAGGAACACCGAUGGCGAAGGCAAUCCCCUGGGCCUGCACUGACGCUCAUGCACGAAAGCGUGGGGAGCAAACAGG